CCUACGGGAGGCAGCAGUGGGGAAUAUUGCGCAAUGGGCGAAAGCCUGACGCAGCGACGCCGCGUGAGGGAUGAAGGUCUUCGGAUCGUAAACCUCUGUCAGCAGGGAAGAACGGUCACUGUGCUAAUCAGCAGUGAAUUGACGGUACCUGCAAAGGAAGCACCGGCUAACUCCGUGCCAGCAGCCGCGGUAAUACGGAGGAUGCGAGCGUUAUCCGGAUUUAUUGGGUUUAAAGGGUGCGUAGGCGGGUUAUCAAGUCAGCGGUAAAAUGGUGGAGCUCAACCCCAUCCAGCCGUUGAAACUGAUGAUCGUGAGUGGGCGAGAGGUAUGCGGAAUGCGUGGUGUAGCGGUGAAAUGCAUAGAUAUCACGCAGAACUCCGAUUGCGAAGGCAGCAUACCGGCGCCCGACUGACGCUGAAGCACGAAAGCGUGGGUAUCGAACAGGAUUAGAUACCCUUGUAGUC
rnacentral:rRNA from 1 species